rnacentral:rRNA from 1 species
ACCUACGGGGGGCAGCAGUAGGGAAUAUUGCACAAUGGGCGAAAGCCUGAUGCAGCAACGCCGCGUGCGCGAUGAAGGCCUUCGGGUCGUAAAGCGCUUUUCGGGGAGAUGAGGAAGGACAGUAUCCCCGGAAUAAGUCUCGGCUAACUACGUGCCAGCAGCCGCGGUAAAACGUAGGAGGCAAGCGUUAUCCGAAUUUACUGGGCGUAAAGCGUGUGCAGGCGGUUCGGUAAGUUGGAUGUGAAAUCUCCUGGCUCAACUGGGAGAGGUCGUUCAAUACUGUCGGACUAGAGGGCGGUAGAGGGAGGUGGAAUUCCGGGUGUAGUGGUGAAAUGCGUAGAUAUCCGGAGGAACACCUGUGGCGAAAGCGGCCUCCUGGACCGUACCUGACGCUCAUACACGAAAGCUAGGGGAGCGAACGGGAUUAGAUACCCGGGU